UACGUAGGGUCCGAGCGUUGUCCGGAAUUAUUGGGCGUAAAGCGCGUGUAGGCGGCUUUGCAAGUCGGGUGUGAAAGCCCUCAGCUCAACUGAGGAAGUGCGCCCGAAACUGCAGAGCUUGAGUGCCGGAGAGGGUAGCGGAAUUCCCCAAGUAGAGGUGAAAUUCGUAGAUAUGGGGAGGAACACCGGUGGCGAAGGCGGCUACCUGGACGGUAACUGACGCUGAGGCGCGAAAGCCAGGGGAGCAAACGGG
rnacentral:rRNA from 1 species